rnacentral:rRNA from 1 species
UACGAGGGGGGCGAGCGUUUGUUCGGAAUUAUUGGGCGUAAAGGGUGCGUAGGCGGCCUGACAAGUCUGAUGUGAAAUCCCUGGGCUCAACCCAGGGCCUGCAUCGGAAACUGUCGGGCUUGAGUAUGGGAGAGGUGAGUGGAAUUUCCGGUGUAGCGGUGAAAUGCGUAGAUAUCGGAAGGAACACCUGUGGCGAAAGCGGCUCACUGGACCAUUACUGACGCUGAGGCACGAAAGCUAGGGGAGCAAACAGG